UACGUAGGGUGCGAGCGUUAAUCGGAAUUACUGGGCGUAAAGCGUGCGCAGGCGGUUGUGCAAGACAGAUGUGAAAUCCCCGGGCUUAACCUGGGAACCGCAUUUGUGACUGGCAGGCUAGAGUAUGGCAGAGGGGGGUAGAAUUCCACGUGUAGCAGUGAAAUGCGUAGAGAUGUGGAGGAAUACCGAUGGCGAAGGCAGCCCCCUGGGCCAAUACUGACGCUCAUGCACG
rnacentral:rRNA from 1 species